rnacentral:rRNA from 1 species
AUGCUUAAAAUGAAAGGAUUUCCAGACAAAUGGAUAGACUGGGUGAUGGAAACAAUUAGAGGGGGGAAAGUUUGUGUGAAAGUGAAUGAAAAUCUAGGGAAGUAUUUUCCUACUCAUAAAGGGCCAAGGCAGGGAGAUUCCAUGUCACCUCUUAAUUUUGACUUGGCGGCUGAUGCUUUAGCUAUCAUGCUUGAUAAUGCCAGAAAAAAUGGCCUAGUUAAAGGGGUGUUGGAAGAAUAUGCCACAAAUGGGAUUAACAUGUUGCAAUAUGCAGAUGAUACCAUAUUCCUUCUACAAGAUGAUAUAGAUAGUGCACAUAACCUCAAAUAUAUAUUAUGCCUUUUUGAGCAGAUGUCUGGUCUGAAAAUUAAUUUUCAUAAGAGUGAACUUUUCCUUUUUGGGGAGGCCAAGAACAAAAAGGAUGAAUAUUCUAGGAUAUUCACUUGCCCCAUUGGGACUCUGCCAAUGAAACAUUUAGGUCUUCCUGUAGAUUGUAAUAGAAUUAGCAACAAGCACUGGAAACCUCCAAAGAGUAAGAUGGAGAAAAAAAUGUGA